UACAGGGGGUGCAAACGUUGCUCGGAAUCAUUGGGCGUAAAGCGCACGUAGGCGGUUUGUUAUGUCGGAUGUGAAAGCCCUUGGCUCAACUGAGGAAGUGCAUCCGAAACUGGCAAGCUAGAGCACUAAAGAGGGUCGCGGAAUUCCCGGUGUAGAGGUGAAAUUCGUAGAUAUCGGGAGGAACACCGGUGGCGAAGGCGGCGACCUGGGUAGAUACUGACGCUGAGGUGCGAAAGCGUGGGGAGCAAACAGG
rnacentral:rRNA from 1 species